CUGACUCACAAUAGGCUGAUAUGAGUAAACAAGUUUGACUCCAUUUCAUACCGAACUGACUCCGUGGCGGAUCGGCACUGAAAUAUCUCUAAGAUCGCCGUCAGAUUUGCGUCUCACAGAUCCAGGAACGUUCGCGCUGUCUGAUUCCCCGCUGAGCACGAUGAAGACGACUCUGGUGUUGCUCCUUGUUCUCCUGGUCAUCUCCUCCGAGAUGAUGCCUGCCGAGAGCUGUCCUAUUGGGGAUGAUGGUGACAGUGACGGUGGUGACAGUGACGGUGGUGACAGUGACGGUGGUGACGGUUCAUCCAGCAGCGGCGGUGAUGGGUCCGCGGCCAACAAACGGGACGUGUCCUGGGACAACGAGCCGCUGCCGGGAGAAAAAUGAUGGCUGGGCAGGCCAGUCGGGAUGACUAUCACGUGCUCUCCACGUGAUCACCAACAGCCGUCUAGAAUAGUUCUUUGCUAACAUUAACGCUGGUAGCUGUAGCUCUUUAGAUCUGAAACGCCAUGCAAAACUCUAAUAAGUCAGUGUUUGCUUGAUGUGCAUAGUUUUUCACCCAUAAUCAGGAGCAAAGGGAAAAACUUUACGUUGAUGGAGGUUAGACAUCCAGGUAAACAAGCUCUGGAUAAAAUAAGAGAUAAUUUCCGGACGUUUCGAGUGACAUCCACCACCCAUCUUCAGCGUCACUAAUAAACUAACAGAACUCGUUAAAACCUAAGUGUUAGUUUUCUCCAUAAUUUAUCCAGUAGUAGAGUUUGAAUUUCCUGCAGUCAACACUUUGUCAGUAUACAACCCUGGAAACAUUAUCAAAGGAAUGAUUCGAAUGCACUAGCACUGAAACCAACGCUAAAAUGUAUUCUAAACAUCCGCUGUAAUCUUUUUACAAGACAUUUUAGAAGCUGCUAGAUUCGCAUAUAUGCGUAAACUUUCGGAUAAAUUUGUCAUCCCGUGAUAGAAGACGGCUAAUAAAGACUU